GUUAGGCCGAGGGCACGCCUGCCUGGGCGUCACAC
rnacentral:rRNA from 2 species